rnacentral:lncRNA from 1 species
AAGAGAUCAACUGUCGGUUGUCGGCGGUUUGCGCUUCGGUGGCGGCUCAGGCUUUGGUUCGGGUUUGGGUUCUGGUUUAGGCAUCGGUUCAGGCUUGGGCUCGGGUUUUGGUUCAGGUUUAGGCAUGGGCUUAGGCAUGGGCUCAGGCUUUGGUUCUGGUUUAGGCAUUGGCUUAGGCUUGGGUUCGGGUUUUGGCUCUGGUUUGGGCAUUGGCUCAGGCUUGGGUUCUGGUUUAGGCAUGGGCUCAGGCUUUGGUUCCGGUUUAAUUGGCUCAGGCUUCGGUUCCGGCUUAGGCAUUGGCUCGGGCUUGGGCUCAGGUUUUGGCUCAGGUUUAGGCAUUGGCUCGGGUUUGGGCUCAGGUUUAGGCUCAGGUUUAGGCACUGGCUCAGGCUUAGGCUCGGGUUUAGGCUCAGGUUUAGGCACUGGCUUAGGCAUGGGCUCGGGUUUUGGUUCCGGUUUAGGCAUUGGCUCAGGUUUGGGCUCGGGUUUAGGCUCGGGUUUAGGCAUUGGCUUAGGCAUGGGCUCGGGUUUUGGUUCCGGUUUGGGCAUGGGCUCUGGUUUUGGCUCGGGUUUUGGCAUUGGCUUAGGCAUGGGCUCUGGUUUUGGUUCCGGUUUAGGCAUCGGCUCAGGUUUCGGCUCUGGUUUAGGCAUUGGUUUGGGCAUUGGUUCCGGCUUGGGCUCUGGCUUCGGCUCGGGCUUGGGCAUGGGUUCAGGUUUGGGCUCAGGUUUCGGUCCCGGUUUGGGCAUUGGUUCUGGCUUCGGCUCAGGUUUCGGUUCAGGUUUAGGCAUGGGUUCAGGUUUCGGUUCAGGUUUUGGCUCUGGUUUUGGCAUGGGCUUGGGCUCCGGUUUUGGCAUGG